AAAUUUUGAUUAUCUAUCUACAUGAACACUAGUCAAAUGAGUUCCAGCCCCAAAGGAAAUGUAAAAGGGUGUCAUAAUAAAUUCCAAAUAUUAAUCAAAUAAAAUACUGCCUCAAACACACUAAGGUUGGUAAUUGGGAAAAAUAACAAGGGCACAAAUAACUGGGCCCAGCACAAUGUCAUCAGAAUCAAUUUUAUACCCCAACGGGCGCCACUGGAAUAACCUUCCCCCUUCGGUCUGUAUUUUAACUUCCCCUUUAUGAACCGCAGCAAGCUGACUUUUGGGCUGCUUGGCCAUCACUGGCUGCCUGGUUUGGUUGGUUGAUCUUGAUUGUUUGAGGCUCAGCCCUGGAAUCAGUUUCUGCAAGCCUUUGCUUGAUAUCCCUUGCAAUUGAAAAGAAAACCUCCUCGACAUUCAAAUUUGUCUUUGCACUAGUUUCGAAGAACUUGAUACCAUACUCAUCUGCAAGAGCUUGACCCUUGGACGUAGGCACAGCCCUUUUACUUUCAUCCAU
rnacentral:misc_RNA from 1 species